rnacentral:rRNA from 1 species
GACGAACGCUGGCGGUGUGCUUAACACAUGCAAGUCGAACGGAAAGGCCCUGCUUUUGUGGGGUGCUCGAGUGGCGAACGGGUGAGUAACACGUGAGUAACCUGCCCUUGACUUUGGGAUAACUUCAGGAAACUGGGGCUAAUACCGGAUAGGAGCUCCUGCUGCAUGGUGGGGGGUGGAAAGUUUCGGCGGUUGGGGAUGGACUCGCGGCUUAUCAGCUUGUUGGUGGGGUAGUGGCUUACCAAGGCUUUGACGGGUAGCCGGCCUGAGAGGGUGACCGGCCACAUUGGGACUGAGAUACGGCCCAGACUCCUACGGGAGGCAGCAGUGGGGAAUAUUGCACAAUGGGCGGAAGCCUGAUGCAGCAACGCCGCGUGCGGGAUGACGGCCUUCGGGUUGUAAACCGCUUUCGCCUGUGACGAAGCGUGAGUGACGGUAAUGGGUAAAGAAGCACCGGCUAACUACGUG